rnacentral:rRNA from 1 species
UGGCACUUUCAGUGUCCGAGUUGUAAUUUGAAGAAGGUAUCUUUGGGUCUGGCUCUUGUCUAUGUUUCUUGGAACAGAACGUCACAGAGGGUGAGAAUCCCGUGCGAUGAGAUGUCCCAGACCUAUGUAAAGUUCCUUCGAAGAGUCGAGUUGUUUGGGAAUGCAGCUCUAAGUGGGUGGUAAAUUCCAUCUAAAGCUAAAUAUUGGCGAGAGACCGAUAGCGAACAAGUACAGUGAUGGAAAGAUGAAAAGAACUUUGAAAAGAGAGUGAAAAAGUACGUGAAAUUGUUGAAAGGGAAGGGCUUGAGAUCAGACUUGGUAUUUUGUAUGUUACUCUCUCGGGGGUGGCCUGUACAGUUUACCGGGCCAGCAUCAGUUUGAGCGGUAGGAUAAGUGCAAAGAAAUGUGGCACUGCUUCGGUAGUGUGUUAUAGUCUUUGUCGAUACUGCCAGCUUAGACUGAGGACUGCGGCUUCGGCCUAGGAUGUUGGCAUAAUGAUCUUAAGUCGCCCGUCUUGAA